GCUUUCGUGAUAUAGCGGUCAGCAUGCUGGGCGCGUAUUCCAGAGGUCCGUGGUUCGAGUCCCGGCGAAAGUA
rnacentral:tRNA from 1 species